rnacentral:lncRNA from 1 species
ACGCUGAUAAUAGAGGCUCAGGACGCAGUUAGCAUCGGGGUCGUCGUUGCAGCUACUGUAGCUAACUGCUAACGGUAGACUUCGAAGUUUGCUUUGCAAAAGCUAUUUGCAUAAUUAAGCUACUGAGUGAAGAACUACACUAUCAAUCCCUUGGGUGAAUAAACCUGGAGGCACUAAAUGCACUGCUAAAACUGGAGUGAGACAGUGGGACCAGAGAAACGGUGAUGAGAAAGGCACCAGAACAGUGUCAUCCUUCCUUCGUUCAUCAUCUAACUGGAAGUGGAAGAGCUCAAAUUAA